CCCUUAGAUGUCCUGGGCUGCACGCGCGCUACACUGAUGUGUCCAGUAAGCACCUAACCUCUUCCGAAAGGAACGGGUAACCUUUGCAAAGCACAUCGUGAUGGGGAUAGAUUAUUGCAAUUAUUAGUCUUGAACGAGGAAUUCCUAGUAAGCACAAGUCAUCAGCUUGUGUUGUUUACGUCCCUGCCCUUUGUACACACCGCCCGUCGCUCCUACCGAUUGAAUGUUCCGGUGAGCUCUUCGGACUGCGCGGUCUGCAGUUUCUGCGUUCCGUGCGGAAAGUUGCGCAAACCUUAACAUUUAGAGGAAGGAGAAGUCGUAACA
rnacentral:rRNA from 1 species